AGCGAACGUUUGCGGCGGGCCUAACACAUGCAAGUCGAACGGGCUAGCAAUAGUCAGUGGCGCACGGGUGCGUAACACGUGGGUAAUCAACCCUUCAGCUCGGGAUAACGCCUUGAAAGGGGCGCUAAUACCGGAUGCGACGCGAGGAGCCUCGGCGCUUCGCGGGAAAGAUUCGCAAGGAUCACUGAAGGACGAGCCUGCGGCCCAUCAGCUAGUUGGUGAGGUAAGAGCUCACCAAGGCGAAGACGGGUAGCUGGUCUGAGAGGAUGAUCAGCCACACUGGAACUGAGACACGGUCCAGACUCCUACGGGAGGCAGCAGGUGGGGAAUAUUGCGCAAGUGGGACGAAAGCCUGACGCAGCCACGCCGCGUGAGCGAUGAAGGCC
rnacentral:rRNA from 1 species